AAAAAAGAGGAAAACUGGCAACGGAUGUUAGCUCAGGGACAAUCUUCCUUACCAAAAAAAAAAGGUUAAGUAUUUUUCACAGUCAGGAAUAAAAUGGCUAUCACUCCCCUGUUUACAAAAGCAGUUUCCAUAAUCCAAAUUUAGUAUGAUUUAUUAAUGAUAGAGUGAAAGCCACCUCUGUAUGGAUGAAAUUUUUAGGUUUACUAAAAACUAAAAGUAGGAAACACAAGAAUAGCUAGGAAAUUACUGAAUAUGAAGACCUGUUGGGGGAAAGGGGCACAGGAGGAACCAAACGGUACAGCGCCAGCACGAGAAUAAGCAUCAGAUCCAUGAAUAGCAUAAAAGCUCCAUAAACAGACCCAACUACAUAUAAAAGUCUAGUUUAUGAUGAAAGUGGUACCUCAAAUCACGGUGGCAAAGAUGCUCUGUUUAAUAGACAGCGUAGGGCCAACAGGAUAGCCAUGUGGAACAAGACAAAAGCAGAUCCAUCCCUCCCAUCACACCUACGAAAAAACUCCAAAACUCUAUUAAAAAGUAAAUCUAUACAAGUAUCAGAAGAAAACGUGAGUGAAUGCCUCUAAAACCAUGUGACUAAAACCCUAGAUGCGACAAAAGGUUGAUAAAUUUGACUAAGUACUAAUAAAAAAACUUUUGCCUGGCAAAAAAAAAAACACAUUAAAGUCGAAGACAACUGACAAACUGUGAGAAAAUAUUCACAGCAUAUGUCACAGAUAAAGGGUUGAAUCCCUAAUUUAUUGAGAAUUUUUUUAAUUGAGGAAAAGAGGCCUAUAGAAAAAUGGGCAGAGACUUGAACAAACAACUCAAAAAGAGAUAUAAAAAUAGCCCUCAAUCAUAUGAGAAGAUGUGCAAUUCCAUUCAUAUAAAAAAAGAAAUGCAAAUUAAAACUACAAUGAAAUUCCAUUUUUUGCCCAUCAAAUUGGCAAAAUUCAAAAGCUUGACAAUCAGUCUGGUGAAGCGGUGAUGGGGAAACAGGCACUGCCCUCCACUGUGGGUGGAUGUGAAAAGUGGUCCAGCGUCGAUGGAGACUUAGAGAAUACCUAACCAACUACAUCUAACCCAUAUAACCAACACCUAACCGAUUAUAACCAAACCUCAACACAGAAGUCAUUCUAUAGUUUAUCCAGAACAUGCAUCUCCAACAAUAUGGAAACAUGUUUGCAGAGUUAUUCAGGGUAUUAUUCGUUACUGUCAAGCAUAGGAGACUGACUGAUAAACCGUGCUCCAGACGCGCAAUGGUCCCCAUGCAGAUGUGGGGCAGAAUCAGGAGGAGCUCCGUGUACUGAUAGGGACCCAUUCCUCUCAGGUAUCAUUAACGAAAAAAGCAAACGGCAAAAACCCACAUAGUAUGCUACCUUUUGUGUGCAAAAUAAGGGGAACAUUUUUUUAAAUACAUCUAAUGGUUUGUCAUUACAAACAGGAACACAGGGAGCACAACCCAGAAAACAGUGAACGUUGCCUACAAGGGGGUGGGGAGAUUGGACAGAAGGAACAGGAAGCAGUGACACAUCUCUGAUUGUACCUUCCGGGUAGUUUGACUUUUAAAAGCAUGUUAAUAUUCUACAUAUUCCAAAAAUAAAAUUAAAUCAAUAAGAAUAAGAAGGAGGUACUAAAACCAAAAGCGAACUGGAGCCCACACGGACCUACCUGCAUUUCUGACGUACACCACAGCCACCCUCCAGCGAGGGGGGGGGGGGGCAGUUCAUCGACGUAAUUUAUAAACACAGCGUGUGACUGUGUCCCCGGCGGAGGGCGAGGGGACUGCAAACAAACCCCAGACUCUUCUUAGGAGGUUGUUCCUGCAACGGCACGUGCGCGGCCGCUCUGAAACUCCAGAUGUGCUGAGGGGUUGAACAGCUGAGUGAACAGAAUGUGCUGGUGUUGUUGGAGUUGGAAGCCAGAGUUUUCACUGUGGAAGGACACACAAAUAUGAAAUGAUGGAAGGUAUCCACCUAGAAUUAUUAUUGCCAGUCGCACUCGGCUGGUGACCACAGCUUAUGUCAGCAGCCAUGACGCCGUGUCCCAGCUGCGGGACAGCCCACCUGAGGGACAGCAGAGGAGGCAGAAGAGACCCUCACUCCCAGAGCUGCCGCUGCCGGAAACAGGCCUUCCCGUGCCUGGGCGUGGUCUGGGCUCCAUCCACAGGAGCAGUCUUCUGGGAAGCAGGGCCAGCCCAGUCACCAACCGGACAGGCCAGGCUGGUGAGGGCGGAAAACGUCAUCUGAAAGCCGUCCUUCCCAGGGCUUCAGAAAAGGCGAGACUGCCCACCGACGGCCCAAGAAAGACCUGUGUGUCCUGCAGCCUCGAGCUCUGCUUUGCAGGCCUGAGCUCACCACUGUCUGGCAGGCGUCUCUUGCUUCUGAGGCGCCCCUAAAGCACUUUCGCUCUCUGUAGGCGCUUUGACGGCAGCUUCUGCGGGUGGAUUCUGGCCCACAGGAGAGGCUCAGAUGACCGAGUUAGAAUUUGAGGCUCAUCCAGUGUUAAUCUUAGUUGUGUGCACAGUAUCACCCCCAGUUUUAAUGUUUGCUCAAUACUCUUUUCUCUGGAUGAAAA